rnacentral:rRNA from 1 species
UACGAAGGGGGCUAGCGUUGCUCGGAAUCACUGGGCGUAAAGCGCACGUAGGCGGAUUGCUAAGUCAGGGGUGAAAUCCUGGAGCUCAACUCCAGAACUGCCUUUGAUACUGGCGAUCUUGAGUCCGGGAGAGGUGAGUGGAACUGCGAGUGUAGAGGUGAAAUUCGUAGAUAUUCGCAAGAACACCAGUGGCGAAGGCGGCUCACUGGCCCGGUACUGACGCUGAGGCGCGAAAGCUAGGGGAGCAAACGGG